CUGAGAUCAGAUCUGGAAGCAAUGGGGAAGGAACGCCUAGAAGCAUUGAGAUGAAUCCGAGCACAGAUAAGCCUUGUGCAAACGAAGACGAUGAACAAGAUGCUCACGGCGAAUCCUAUGACCGUCAUCACCAGAUUACCCUCGGGCUUAAGAUUCAACAUUUAAUCCUACGGCUGCAUUCCUUAUUGAUGUCGAUGGUGCUGAAACUUGGGCCAAACUAGCAAAAAACACCUGAAAGAUUAAUGAAGAUGCUGUCAUUUUUUCCAGAACUGCAACUUAUAGCUUUGCAGAGGUGAUUAGGGAUGAAACUGGCGCAUUGGUGGAAGCUUUGGGUGUUAAGGAGACACUGAGUUGGGUUAAUCAGAAAGAUUGGAUGAAGGUUGUCAUUGAAACUAAAUCUUAGUGUGGUGCUGUAACGCCCCCGCUUCAAGCCUCCAUUGGUUCCUUACACCCACGGAAUAAUGGCUCUUAUACACGAGUACGCCACUCUGGCUGCUUUCUGGAUCGAUGACUGACCCUACAGACCAACACAAGUGUUUAUCAAUCAAUCUAUUUAAGCCCUCUUCAACUGUGUAGUCCCAUACAUACACAGUCUCAGAAUCAUCCCACUUGACCUUCCCCAGGCGGUGUGGGAUUGCACAGCUUACCCGGUGUUUCCCCUUACGGAUCACGGGACUACUGACUGUCACAGGUGCAAGCGUUACGUAGCUCUAUUCCUAUAGUUUCAUACUUUGGGAGUACUAUUUCUGAUUGUAAGAUGUUGUUAAAUGACUUGAGAGAUGUUUACGUCAAUUUUAUUAGACGUUCUGCAAAUAGUGCGAGCAUCCUAUUUAGUU